rnacentral:tRNA from 1 species
GUGCCUGUAGCUUAAUUGGAUAAAGCGUUGGACUCCGGAUCCAGAAAUGCGGGUUCAAAUCCCGCCUGGCACACCA